rnacentral:rRNA from 1 species
CAUGAAGUCGGAAUUGCUAGUAAUCGCGGAUCAGCACGCCGCGGUGAAUACGUUCCCGGGCCUUGUACACACCGCCCGUCACACCAUGGGAGCCGGUAAUACCCGAAGUCAGUAGUCCAACCUCGUGAGGACGCUGCCGAAGGUAGGAUUGGCGACAGGGGUGAAGUCGUAACAAGGUAGC